UUUCAGUUUGUUUUUUCAGGCAGUUCUUGGAAAUGUCUGCAGUUUCUAAGAAUAAUUUCUUCAAGGUAUUUAUCAUCUGGAAACUUCGAUAGACAUUAGAACUGAAAAAUGGCUCACAAUAACAUAUACAAUGGCACAAUUGAGUCUCACAAAGGUCCAAUAAAUAUUGAAAAAGUAGAGAAAUUACAGCUUGGAUCAGGUAAUACUAUGAAUAACUUCUAUGGUGUAUCAUCCUCACAACGAAACAGACAUAGCAGUUCAACAUCAUACAGUUCAGAUGAUGAAUGUGACAUACCCACAGAAAAUGAAUUUUUGGAUACUUGUGACGCAGAACUUGAUGAAGAUGUCACAAAACAAGUAGCAAAAGUUAUUUCAACAAAAUGGAUGGAUUUUGGUAUUGAGUUUAAACUAAAAGAAGAGCAACUUGACAAAAUCUUAGAAGAUUAUUAUAGUGAGGGAUGUAAUGGCUUAGCAUUACGUGUUCUCAAAUUAUGGUUAAAUGGGAGAACAAAUGUCAAAAUCUCUGAUAUUGCGAAAUAUUUUACAGAUGAAUCUGAUCGACAUCAGCUUUAUAAAUCAUUGAGGUCCCCACAAAAUCUCCCAGCUUUAAAGAGCAACGAGAAAUUAUCAAUUAAGGCUAGUAAUGGGGAUGAAGAAGAGGAUGCCAUAUAUUGAUAUGAGUGAACAACACUCCAGCAAACUGUUUAUCUCUCUUAAAAUGAAUGUGUAUAGAAAACAAUAACACAGGCUAUCUCAUUCUUUCAAAAAGCAAAAAGGUCCCGGUGAAUCAGCACUGCCAUUUUUUUAUAUACCCAUAUUUAAAUGUGGUCAUAUAUUGUCUCCCUUGUCCAUUUGUUAUCUACAGGAUAAAAUUAUUAACUGAUUAACUUGAAAUUUGUUCAUUUUGACCAAGAAUCAUUGAUUUUCAAUAAUUUCUGACAAUUAUUACUUCCCAAGUUAUUACCCUUGAUCUUUUUAAAUUCCAUCGACACUCCUUUGUCUUAAAUAAGAUGGGAAAAGAGAAGUUGAGUUUAUGUCAGCACAACAUAGGUCAGUUUGGGACUAAGAUUUGGUAUAUUUUAAUUCAAUAUUUCUCUUGUGCACAGAGAUCUGUAGAAGUGAAAGUGAAGUACCCAAAGAAAACUCACACGGUUAGAUGAUUAUAGGCCUUAUGAUCUACAACAUGCAAAUUAGACCCUUCGGUCACCCCAAAUUUAUGAUAGGAUCGUUUAAGAUAUUCUUGCCUUGAUUCACAAAGCUGCUGUUGGGUGUAUUUUUCAUUUCUUAGCAGUGCUGUAUUUAGUAAAAUACUAUUGUGUAUGGUUUUAAGUUUGUUUUUUUUUUUAUUCUGCAAUUUUAUGUUAUCGACGAUAAUAAUCACAACUGAUUAUUUUAAAGUUUAGAGUUGUGUUAAAUUUGACGCUAGCAAUGAUUGACAUGUGCUACAGAAACACAAUGAAAUUAAUGCACUGGUAACUGGUCAUUAGUAAACUUAAUUUUUGGUUUUAGAUACUUAUUUUCAAAACUUAAACAUGCAUUAUGCAAGAGCUAAAUCUGCCUAUUGCAGGUCUUUCUUUAGGCCUGAAAUGUUUUCUAAAGUAUUAAUUAGACAUUAAUUAACUGAUCCAGGCCUUAAUCAACUCUCGAUGGCAUCAGAUUUCUCCGAUAUUAAAUAGAUUAGAAUUGUUCAGCGAUACUUUGAUUUAAUCAAAUAUGGAGGACCGAGACUUAGCUUCGAUCAACCAGUACGGUGGUUGAAAUUAUUGCACACGUCUGUCAAACCUUCAAAGGCUAAUAUCUUCGCUUGCAAUAGAGUAAUUUGAAUGAAAUUUUCAAUAUUAUUCAUUUUACAUUAUCUACUUUCGAACUAUUAUAGCAAGAAUGGCUAGUUCUUUAUCUAAAUCUUACAUAAUGUAUUUUUAACCUAGAAAUGUAGUAUCAUCAUAAAUUAUUGCGUACACAUUCAUUGUUAUAUUAUCAGAGUAAUUGUUAACUAUCUAUCAUUCACACCGCAUUAUUUUAAAUAUUUGAAUUCAAGGGCAAUCUUAUUUAAGUUAACUAUGCAAACCAAUUACUGAUAUUAAAACUUCAUUCAACACAUGUAUAUGUUCCAUUCUUUGUUAAAGUAUUUAUCACCUUAAAGUAUGGAGGUUCCAAUGUUAAAAUAUUUAAAAGUCCGUCCGUCUGUCUAUCACACUUUUUAGGACACAAUAACUCUCCUAAUUGUGUUGAAACUUGGUGUAGGUGUUGAUUAGGUUUAUGCCUUGAUGGAGUUCGAAGAGCAUUUUCUGCUUCGGGUAAGCAGAAAUGAGCAAUUUGAUUGGUUGAUGCUUUGGCACAUAAUAACUUUGGUUCUAAUUAAGUGAGAGUGAUGAAACUUGGUGUAUAGUUUCAUUACAUCAAUACCUUGACUAAGUUCUAUAAUGAGAAUUUUCUGCUUCGGGAAAACAGAGCGAUAAGACUUUGGAACGCAAUAACUCUCCUUUUAAUUGAAGUAGAAUGUCUAAACUUGGUGUAGGUUUUUAUUAGGUGAAUUCCUUGAUGGAGUUUAAAAGAUAACUUUGGUUCUAAUUAAGUGAGAGUGAUGAAACUUGGUGUAUAGUUUCAUUACAUCAAUACCUUGACGGAGAUCGAUAAUGAGCAUUUUCUGCUCAGAGUAAGCAGAGCGAUAACAAUUUGAGUGGUCAAGACUUUGGACCUUUAUGACUUUGAUGCUAACAGAGUGAGAGUAGUGAAACUUCGUGUAAAGUUUCAUUACAUCUAUACCUUGACUAAGUUCAAUGAUGAGCAUUUUCUGCUUGGGCUUAGUAGAACCAUCAGCCUCAUUGGUCGAGACUUUGGAACACAAUAACUAUCUUUCUAAUUGAGAUAGAAUGUUCAAACUUGGUGUAGGUGUCUAUUAGUUGACUACCUUGACAGUGGUCGAUCAUACACAUUUUCCACUAAAGCUAAGCAGAGAUAAGCAAUUUGAUUGGUUGAGUCUUUGGAACACAAUUACUUUAGUUCUAAUUGGGUGAGAGUGAUGAAUCUCAGUAUAGAUUCGUUAUAUCAAUACCUUGACUAAGUUCGAUGAUGUGAAUUUUCUGCUUAGGAUAAGUAGCGAUAAGCAGUUUGAUUGGUCAGUACUUUGGAACAUAGCAACUCUGCUUUUAAUUGAGGUAGAAUGUUUAAACUUGGCGUAGAUGUUCAUUGGGUUAAUAUCUUGACUGAGUUUAAUAAUUAACACUUUCCGAUAAAGCUGAGCAGAGAUAAGCAACUUCAUUUAUUAAUGCUUUGGAACAAGAAAACUUUGUUUCUAACUUAUGAAGAGUGAUGAAUCUUAGUGUAGAGUUUCACUACCAGGUACUUCAAAAACUUGACCAAGUUCGAUCGAGGAAAUUUUCUGCUUAGACUGAGUUUACAUAUUUAGUUUGAUUGCUCGAUGCUUUUCAAAAAAAUAUGUGUCGCCUAUUUAUUUUAAGAUUGCAGUGGGGGACAUCAGCCUCACUGUUUGUGCAGAUACAGGAAUAUUUGUGGAGAUAAUAGACAAAAAAUAACUUUGCACACAAAAAGAGAAGUGAGCUCGUAUCCAAUGAUGUCUCCCCUCAUUUCCUUGAAUCUGCAUCAGAAAUAACAUCCUGGGGCCUGUUUCACUUAAUUUUAACUAAGAUAAAAAUCCAAAUUUUCGUAAUUUGAUUGGAUAAUAUUAGAUUGAUUUUAGUACUAAGCCAAUCAAAAUUGAAGCAUCGACUAAAUGGUUUUUAUCUUUAGUUAAGAUUUCGAAAAACAGAGCCCUGGUAGUUAUCUCAUUAUUGUAACAGUAUGGUUGUGUUUGUCAAAUUUUGUUUUGUUUUUGAACAUCCAUCUGGAUGCCAUAAAGUUAGAAUCCAGCAUUAAGUUAUAUAAAACUUGUUACAGUAUUAAAUAAAAUAUUAAAUCUGGUGUUAAAAUAGGAAAUCUUGUAUUAAGAUGGAUUCCGGUGUUAAAAAAUAUGUCAGAUUUGGGUGCUAAAAUAUGAACAAUCUGGUGUUGUGUGUCUUGACAAAUUUUAAACAUUGAUUAAUUAAAAGAGAUAAUAUUAAAUGGCAUGGUUUUUAAACGUGUCUAAAUAUCUUAUGUUAUUAUAUUAUGUUUUUUAUGUCUAUUCAUUAAGUGUUCGAUCCCUGCAUUAGCCGAGAAAGUUCAUCCAGAUUUUCCGGCGUGGUUCUCCCUUGUCAGUGAUGCAGGACGGAGGGGCUGACAAGGAAAGCUGUCUAGUCGUUCGGAUGGGACGAAAAACCAAGGUCCCGUGUACACAUUGGCGGUUGGAAUUCGAUAUAAGAGUAGGCCGUAGUGCCGCUGUCCGGGCAAAAUUUCCCUCAUAGCACACUGUAUGGCGUAUGCCCGUCUUCAUUAGCCCAGGUUAGGAGCAGAACAGUAGGACGUUAAACUCCAUUUCAUUUCAUUUCAUUUCUAUUCAUUAAGAUUAGAUUAUAUAAUUGUUGAUUUAUUUUCUGAUAUUUACACGAUAUUAUAAUUCAAUCUUCAUAUUAUAACCCAAAAAUUACUACUAAUAGAGUUUUAUAUCUGCCAACAGCCUGCUAGAUUCCCUCAUAGACAUGGGUUUUCAAAUCCCACUAUUCACUGCAGAACAAAGUCUAAAUAUUGUUUACAUAGAAAAUAUCCCAUUUUAAUGUAGUACAACAUAGAGAAUAAAAAAAAAGCAAUUAAAGACGCAUAACAAUUCAUUAACUAAAUGUUAUAUAAAUUAUUAAUAAGAGUCGGAUUGCUUUGAUUUAAAGUAGAUCAGAUGAUUUGAUUUAAAAAUGGAGAAGUAAGGCUAACCCUCUAAUAACCAGCACUUUAAUUACAAUAAUAAACAAUGCACACAUCUUGUCAAAACUACAACAAACAUUGAUAACUUCACUUAGAAAAAAGUAAUUUGAAUGAAAUUUUCAAUAUUAUUCAUGUUGCAUUGUCUAUUUUUGAUCUAUUAUAGCAAGAACGGUUCCUGGUGUAACACUCAAUCAAUAGAAAUAAAUGUGCAUCUUAACAUUGAUUCCCACUAACCUCCACAUCUCCCCCUGGAUUUAAAUGAGAUUGUUUUGUUAACAUAAAUAGUAAUAACUUGUUAAAUCUAUUGCUGUGUAUAUUUGUCUCUUUUAACUUCAUUUAAAUAACUUCACUUAUAAAUAUUUAUUUCAUUUAACUUUUAAAUAAUAUAUUUAUCUAUAUUUUAUCUUAUAUUUUAUUGUAUACAUUGUUAUGGAUUUAUAGUGAUCCUUGUGAUCAUAAUUUAUUUACAUUCUAAUACAUGUAUUUAACUUUCAAUUUGUAUUUUCAUUCUACAUACAAAGCUGAUAUGAAACACUGACUGAUGGUCUCAAAAUUAGGGAUUUUAAAGGCAUCAAUAGACCAUAAAAAAGGUACACAAAUUCUUCACCCAAAAUGUGGACAAGGCAGGGAGUACAUGUAAAUGUUUGACAUACCUGUACACCUCUUUUAUACAUUUACUCAUUCUCCCCCACACACAGGAGCGGACUAGGUCUUGGAAUAUUUUUUUUUUCGAAAUAAAUCAAAAUUCAUCUUGGCAUCCACUGAAAAAUUUAAUGUCCUAAAUCUGAGGAGAAAACUGAUCUAUGAGUGUUGUGCAUGAAGCUAGUUUCUUUUUCUGGUCAUAUCCGGUAAUUCUUCACAGCAAUGAGGGCCCAAAGUAAACCAGUUGGUCCGAGGACCCAGUACUACCUAGUCCGCCCCUGCCUAUAAACUACAUUGUUUAAUAGUUACAUUGCGAUCAAUUAGUAAUAGACAUACCCAGGGUAAUUUUCAAAUUUUAGAAUUUAUUAAUGCAGCUGUAGGCUAGUAUGUACAUGUAUAUUAAAUCUAUUAUGAAUAUAAGCUAGCAAUAAAAUAAAUGGCUACGUUUUUUGACUUUUCUUUUCAUGAUAUAUAUAUGCCUGUAAUAUGCUUGUUGAUAAGUAAUAUUAUUCCUGAAUUGUACAUAGUUCUAAUUCUAACAACAGAUAGAUAAAGAUGGUGACUCAUCAUAAUCUACUUAAUUGUAAUUAAAUAUGUAAAGUCAAGUUUCAGCAUCACCAAAUCUUUUAAUAUUGAGUGGGUAAAUAUUAGUAGUUAUUUUAGCAAUAUGAAUUGUGGAUUUCAUUUCAUGUUUAGUGUUUAUGAAUAAAGUAGAUGUUGUUGAUACAAA